rnacentral:rRNA from 1 species
UCAGCCUAUAUACCACCGUCGCCAGCUUACCUCAUGAGAGACCAACAGUAAGCUAAAAGGGCACAGCCCAGAACGUCAGGUCGAGGUGUAGCCGAUGGAAGGCGGAAGAGAUGGGCUACAUUUUCUGAACCAGAAUAUCACGAAAGGCGUUGUGAAAAAAACGCAAUUGAAGGUGGAUCUAGCAGUAAAGAGUUAGCAGAGAGUUCUCUUGAAAUUGGCCCUGAGACGCGUACACACCGCCCGUCACUCUCCUCUUAGCGUUUACGAAGAAAGUAUAUAAACAAUUAGUAUUAGCUAAUCUAGAGGAGGCAAGUCGUAACAAGGUAAGUGUACCGGAAGGUGCACUUGGAACAA